AGCCGAGUGUUGGUGACAGAUUGAGAGGGAAGGAAUAAAGCACAGCAUUACGUUUUAAAGCAACCCAGUGGAACGAAGGGAUCUACCAAUACUGGUGAAGUCCCUUCUGUGAACCGCACAACAGAAGCUGCUGUCCCAAUUCGUGGUUCCUCCUUCCCGCUGGCAAACAGCCUGAGGAGGGGCUGUUUAUAGGUGGUGCCUGCUAAGUGUUGGAGGUGAAGAAGUGCACACCCAUGCUCUUUGCAUUUCUCGCUGAGGACAGGUACAACGUGGUCAUUCGGGACCGACCGUAUUGCCAGAUCUCCUUUUGGCAGCUGGAUGAGAAGGGAAUGCCAUCGCAAAGGAAAGAUUGCUGAGAUGAGGUUCAAGUUGUAUUCAAAGGGAACACGAGUGCAUUACACGUAUCACCCCCAUGACAGAACUGUGUUUGAGGAAAUCAAGAACCGAACGGAUCCUUUUUUAUUUCCACUCAUUUUCAGGAAUACGUUCCUUGAAGAGUUGGGCCUAGCAAUAUGGCAGCGCACAUUCGAUAAGAAAUCUUGUAAAAUGCUGCUACUGAGCAUUCUAGACAAGUACAGUGUGAAGAUGAUUGAUUUGUUUGCCUAUCAUGGAUUUUCUGCCACUGUGUAUGUGUUCAUCAGGUUUUCAAAAGGACCACGUGCUCCCUGACCCAUUGCCUUGACCGCUGCACAAUUAUUGCAGGGCUAGAGCUUUCUGAAUUCUGGGUGCUCCUAAAUUGCAUUUAGGACCCAACAAAAAAGUUGUCCUGGUUUUUUCAAAGAUGCCGAACCCCUGCAGCUCCUGUUCUUGGUAUGAAUUUUGGGUGCUGAAAACUUUGGAAAAGCUGGACACUUUUAAGGCUUGUACAGUUACAUGAGGUGUUUCAAAAGGCUGAUGCUUCUGGACACAUCUGGUGGAGGUGGUUUGCCUCUCGCUCACGGCAGUUUGGAUUAAGGAGCUGUGGAGCCACCCUUAAGUUUUGUAGAGGAGCUAUGUGGAGAAAGGGCACAUGAUUUGAUAGAGGAGCAGUGACUUCCAAGACUUUUUUGCUCCAGCAAGCUUUACAGCAUUUACAGAAAUCACAGCCAUAUAUCCACUGCAGUCGGGAAGAAGGUUGAAAGGACAAAGAGAAGGUAAAAUAGAGCGAUAUGUGCUGAGGUGUCCAAACUAUAAAAUGGAGAGCAGCUUGCAGCAUAUGCCAGUUUACCUGGAUUAACUGGAUUGAAUGAAGUCAUGAGAACAGUUCAAACAGAUUCCCACUGGCUAGUAACCAGUGUGUCCCUGAAGACUUUGUACUCUAGUUGCUAGAGCAUGCUAAAACCCAUACCGUCAUGACUUCACUGCUAUUUUUAUGUGCUCUGCCUAGAUUAAGACAGAAUUUACUAAACAAUGGUCCUGUAUUUUGCUGUGUAGGCAUACUGCUAGCUACUAUUUGUAAUAUAGAUGCAUUCCUCAAAGAUAGGUGACAGGUCUUAUUUUGGCAUAAUAUUUUUAUUUUUGCCUCAAUUCUCGUUAAAAACAUACACACACACACACACACACACUAUAACCAGUCCAUAUGAAAGCUUUAGGUCAUUAGGGAGAUGAUUUUGAAAAUUCAUGUUGUGAUCCUGCCCCAUCGUUAGUUUGCUGGUGCCACAGUCAUAAACUGCAUACUAAGGGAAGCCUUUAAAGCUCUUGUAGUGCACCACUGAAAUGAUCAGUCAAGAAUAACUACUGAAGUGUUGUGCUCAGAAAUUUUUGUUUUCUGGUUUGCUGGGCAGCAAGAAACUACUUGCAAUAGUGCACCAUUGCAAAUUUUCUUUUGCUUCUGUAUUUUCACAUGGCUCUGUGAAAGGUGGCAGCAUAAGAGUCCCGAAGAAGGAGGAACUCUGCUUAUCCACAAAAUUGGUACCUGAUUGCUUGCGACCCCGUAAGCGUCUUCGGACCAUUCUGUUGUGCCGCCUCGCAGCUGUCCUUGGAGAGGGCCAACCUGUGACGGUGAGAAAGCUGAGGCAAGAGCUGUUUCCCGGGACCUGAAUGCUGUUCCUUCAUAAAGGAGGCUGAAACUCAGAAACUUGCACUGUUACAGGGAAUUUUUUAAUUUUUUUUUUUAAAAAAACAAUGCCUUUCAUCUGUUUCCACACCCAGCUGAAACUAUGCUGCAACACUUCUGCUGCUAAAUCAGAUGCAUUAAGUACAGUCAAAUUUGUACAUAAAAGUUUUGUAAGAACUGGGAUGAAAUAGAAUGGAAUGCCAGAAUGACUCAUUGUUUAAUGAAUAAGGCCCUAAGUGUUCUAUUGAUGCCAUUUAUAAAUCUGUAUAAAAUGUAUAGAAUUCAUGUCAUAACUGGAAUUCCAAGCACAGCAACCUUGUGAGCUAAAUUAUGAUGAUGAUAGGGUACCGCACAAAUUAAUAUGAAUUCUAACACGCUUCUGCUUGAAAGCUGCUCAGACAGUUAAAAAUAAGACAAUUUCAUUACACAGAUUCAAAGCCCAGACCUCGGAAAUGCUGCUACUCUCUCCUUUUGAAAUUGUAAAUUACUGAAGCAGUUCUUUUUGUGUGUCUUAGAGUCAAAAAGUAUAACCUGUAAGGGACAAAGAUGUCCUUUCAAUUAGAUGUAGGUACUGAUUACAAUGCACAGUGUAACUGGAAGAGAAAAGAAUUGGCUGGGAUAGACCAGCUCAAUAUUUGGAACUCUUCUGUUGGAAAUGGACAGUCUGAGGCCGGAGCAGAGAUCUGAACACACAUCUCUUUUUGACUAACUUUUUCCUUCUCAUUCUUAUUUUCCCCUUUUCAUAGCUUGGUGGCUUAGAUAUGAAACCAGGUGAAGUUCAACAUUUCCAGUGUGAGUUUUUGAGAUGAGUUCCGUAUCCAUUCAGACUUCAGUCAGCGACAAAGUCGUGUAUGUGUGCUGUUGGGCUACCAGGAUUUAACCUUGUGAUAAAAGCUUCCAGUCUAAACUGGAACAGAAAGGAAAUCUGACAUUUGGAAAUUUCCCGUAGCAGAGGAAGAUCCAAAAUAUUUUAUCAGGGAAAAAAACCCCAACAACUCUCUUUUUUUCUUUCUUUUUUUGAACAAGACAAAACUUCUAGUUGCCCUGACUCCAGUGAUGAUCUAGGCAGUCCCAAUUGCAAAUGUUUAGAUUUAUAUAUUCAAAAUGUAAAAUGUAUUCUCCCUGAGCAAGUUUUUUUUUUUUUUUACAUGCUAUAGGGUGAAAUUAGCCUCUUUGCGCAAUGUCAUGGCCCUGUUUCUUGGUUAAGUAAGUUCAAGAAUCAGGUUUCUGGGGCAGAUAUGGAAAGAAAUUGAAAUUCUGCAUCCUGUGUUAUAUGCAGCGGCUCCUCCUUACCACCACCUCUCCCUGCUUCCUUCUCAAAUUCAUAGAAAACAGCUUCCUCUCCAGUUAGGUGAUCCAGGAUUCUCUGAGGUGUACUGCAAAUGAAAUUCCACUGGCUAGGAAUGUUCCAAGCAAUUAUUUUCUUAAAAGCAGGAGAGAGCAGCUAUUGCUGCUAAGGAUAAAGACACUUAACCUAUGGGGAAAGAGCUGUCAGCCCGCAGGCGGGAGCCUUACCAGUGGCUGCAGGAUACCUGGCUCCUGCCAGCCACCUCUCGACGGUACGAGCACUUACUCUUUUUUUUAAGGAAAAAAUCCCACCACGCUCAAGGCCACUUUUAAAAGUACUAUUUAAGAGCAGUGUAGGUAUAGCCAAUAUAGAGUCCUUGAUUUCUGUUUUCCAUCUACGUUCUUGUAGGUUCCCGUGUUCAGGUAGCCAGACUACUGCGUCGUGCCACAGAGGAGCAAAUGUUGUGGUGCAGGGUUCUCCCUUGCUCCUCUCGGGUCAUUGAGGAUAAGUCCGCUUCAAGUGUGAGUCACCCUGCUGCCAUUUUUCCUUCCACCCUUCGCCAAGGUCUGAUGACAAGACUGUGAUUUCUCUAAGCUUGUCUUUGUUACAGGUGUGACACGCAGCUCAUAGGGUUUCAUUAUGGCUUUCAUAAUGUAUUCACAAAAUGUCAGGAUCAAGUCAUUUACAAUUAACGGUGAUGUGUAAAUGUCAUGUCUAACAAUUGCAGUGUAAGAAUAUUUUUUGUGAAUGGGACAUUUUUUACACAUGCAACUGUCAAUGUCCAAAAAACCCAUAACCAGUCAGGCAAAUGCUUGGUAAAGACAGGUUUGGGUUUUUUCUUUUGUUUUCUCCUCAUUGAAUUCUUGAUAGGCAACUAGACCUUGUUGCCUGUUGUUCCUAGAUCCAGUACAGACAUAAAGCUCAAGCCAUGAAUGGAAGCCUUUAUGAACAUUUUAGGGCUCCAUCCUGUUAUAAAUGUGGAGCGGAUAACCCCCUGCGCAAUACUGAUGCGAAAUUUGUAUGAGCACUGUCCAUAUUUUUUAGGACCAAAGACAGGAAGGCGUGCAGCAUAGGAGCUGUACUACCAAAUCUGAGGAGAGGAAGAGUGGCUCAGAAAGGUGCCCGCAAAAAUGGUCCCAAGCAUGGAGAUAUCCAAAAUGGAUAGACUGGGACCAUUGCCAUUAGAAAGGAAAAGGAAAAAGAGGUAGACUGAGAAAUUCUCAUCGUUUCACAAAGUGAAUACAAGGAGACAUGCAGUGAAAUUAAAUGAUGACAAAUUAAAAGUGUUUUAAAAAGCAAUUCUUUUCCACCAGUAUUUAAUUAAACAAUGAACCUAAUUGCUUUUAGAAGUUAAUGGGAAGUUUGCAAGUCUAGAACAGAUUAGAUACUUAUGUUUUUAAUAACCAUACAUAGAAUUAUGGUAAUUCAUUGCAAAAACUUUAGAACCAAGUUUAGACUUAAUGUUUCAAGGUUUACGAUGAAGUGCUGCGAUUCAAGACCAGGGAAAAAACAGUGGGAAGGACAGCCCUUGAUUGUCCAAAGCUGCUAAUACUUGUCGCUAUUGGAGAAGGUAUGUUAGAGAAGUCUGGAUUCUGACCCGGUCUAUAUCUGUCUCCUGCAAAGGAUUAAGUACAUGGUUUGCCACUGACAAAUAAAAGUGAAGAGCUGGCCUUCACUUGGGCUCGCGUAUCGAAUAACUGCAAUACAGCAGUAUUAGUAUUAAUUAUCCAAUGGCACGGGCCACCUCCAGUUCCUUACAGUUGCCAUGUGCAACAGGAAAGGAUUGCAUGAGCACUGUCCAGAAAUGAAAGCAGAGGAAGCGGAAUGACUUACCCAAGGCCAGGCAGCAUAUCAUUGGGAGAGCUGUGUACAAAAACCAGGUCAGUUGGAUUGCAGAUCUGCAUCCAAACACGUGUUGUGACCUCUUCCUUCCUCAUUAAAUAUGUUUCUUGGAACCCUGGUUUUACCAGAAGUAAUAAAAGUUUCAGAAAGAGUGAGGAGGGUUACACCUGGUUCUGCUUUCACACCCACUUCGCAGUAUGAGGUUCGAGCUGGUCUUCACCGUGCAAGAGCACGUCGUACAGAUAUAUAGCUCAAGCUAUCGGUGACUGCUGUGGGAUGUGAUGAGCUCAGGUCGGUGCUGCACUAGCAACAGCCCUGCCGCCCCGGGGGCCUGAGCUGGCACUUCCAGAUGGUGCUGGCUGGAGAUUGGUGGUUGCAGCAGCUCAGGCUGGUGCUAGAUUUGGAGUCGCUGCAGUCAGUCCCCUGAAGAGUGUAGGCAGACCCUUUGUAUUCCUUGGCUUAAGUGAGAUUUAAGGAACUGUUGUAAACAGCAGGUCAAACUCAUUCCCGGAUUAAUGCCCCUGAUGUGGGUUUAUUUUAAAGUUUGUUUUUCUUGUGCUUGAAGUGGCCUCUCAUCUCUUCUGACAAGGAAUAGCAGUUGUGGCAUCAGCGAGUGGUUUGCAAUAGUGGUGUCUGCAGUCUGUCAGAUGCCGCAGCUUCCCCUUGGCUUUCCAUUUCCUUUCAUAACUGAGGUGGUUAGAUUUUGGAGGACAGGAUUUUAAAAAAAAAGAAUGAGGAAGAGAAGGAAAAACAGGAAGGAAAUGGGAAGGGAAAAAGGCAAGACGUGAUUGCUCUCAAAUUGCCCUUCCAAUAGCUUUUGGAAUGUGAAAGGAGAACUUAUAAAAUAAGAGCCCUAAGAUAUUUCAGUCACGUGUUUCCCUUCAUUUGUAUGAGAGAAUAGUUAUUGAAUGAGAAGAUAAACACUGUAGGUCUUAGUGGAAAAAAUGAAAUCAGUGUCCCCUACUUACUAUGUUAGUAAUGAUGUAGUUAGGCUGCUGGUCUGAAGUUGGGACUUUGCAUCAGAAUUAAAGAACUGUCGUCUCUUCCUUCUUCAAUAAAAGAGGAGGGUGUCCGUACUCUGCUGGUGGAAUUGCUAGUGCGAGGGGUUCUGUGGUGCUCUGUUCUGUUUGUAUUCCAACAGAGGGGCUACUUUUAAUUGCAAAAUACGUGUCCACAAUCUCAUUACAAGGUGCAUACAGCCUCUCACGAGGUACGCGCACCAGCUCACUGCUGUGUAUGGGGAUCUCAUAAGACAUUCUGUCUUGGUGCUGUCUAACAUUUUAUAUCUUUAUAUAUUUGUGUGUAUAUAUUUUUAUGUAUGUAUGUUUGUCACAUGCCUGUGAAGUACCAAAUUGCAAACCAACAGUGACUAAUGAGUUGAAGAGCCAGAAAAGGUUAUCUGGAGCAGAGAGAAGCGUGUGAUAACUUUGUGGACUAAUAGGAUGUAAGGUGAAAGCCUACCAGACAGUUGGCGUGCAGCGGGUCAGUGCUGCACCAAAACUGAGUCAAGAGGUUCUGAGGGGCACCUAGAAAUGGUCCAGCAGAGCCGUGAGUGCAGGGAUGUGGGGGUGUUGAGUGGGGCAGUGCUGCCAGCUCUCGGUAACAAGGAACCCUCGAUCCAUAUUGAAGUCAAGGGUUAAACGUUUAAUCCAUAAAUUGGUGCUAGGAAUUAAGGAAGACUACUUGGCAUCUGAAAUCACAGGGAGGCUUUUUCUGUGUAAUAAAAAAGCCUCUUCAAAUUAUUUAAAGCAUGCUUCGCUUGCAUUUUAAAACCGGGGGAAGCUGUGCAAAUGAGACGGACCAGGUUUUGCUCUCGGUUAGUUAAUAACUUAGUUCACGCAAGCGACAGCAGGAGUUUUCUCUUUUUCCUGCCGUGGCUUUACAAGGAGUUAGAUCCUGGUUUGGGCUGCAAAGAAAAUGCUUCCCGUUGCCAUUUCCCUGAAUCCUACUCUGAACCUCGGUUAGAGAAUCAUGUCACGCAGUCAUCUUGAGGUCUGUAGUUAGCCAACAGACAAGUUCUAGGCAAAGGGACUCAAGGAUACCUUUAGCAGCAUUGCUCACGCAGUGCCUUCAGACCUGUAGAGACGGUGAAUUCUGAUGUAACCGUUCACACCUUUCUUUGCUUCUUGUAGGACACAAGCCUGAAACCUCGACGGUAAUUUGCUGGAGUAACAAUGAGGACAAAAUGGAUCUCUCCUUUGCCUGGGUAUCUGAGGGAGCUUUAAAAACUCCCAACAGGACAGAAUUCACUUGGGAAGGUCAGAGUUUGUAAAGCAGCUCCCUUACUUGUUGCGAAGUCCUUGGCCUGCCUCACGCCACAUUGCAUUACAUAUUAACGCGGGCUUUGCAUUAUAUAUUAACGCAGAUUUGUCCUCAGAUACCCUACUGUGGAGAAGGCCAUUUUUAAAUCUUUAAUAGGGCAUUAGAGCAAUUUGCCUGUGAUUUAGUUUUAAGUGGGCAAAGAGAGUGGUGACAAACGAAGCCGGGAGGCCCUAAAAUUCUUUGAAUAUUCCAUGUUUUCCUGGAACUGUUGGGAAAAGGCUGCCAGAAAGGUCUUGGCAGGUUUUCUAGGUGGCUGGCCAAGUCUGAAGCGAAAUGUGGAUAGUUAAUAGGCUAAUGCGGCUCUGGUUCCAAGUCCAUACGUAUAUAACAUACGUUUUUAUUUAAGAAAUCCCACCGCAUGGAGGAGCAAAUGUAGUGCUAAUAUAUCUUCCUGAAAGAAAAUAGCAAGGGAAAAAAACACUGUCAUCUUAUAACGAUAAAAUAAGGGAUCUUUUGCCCUUACUUUUUAGGGACUUGAAUUGUCCGUUGAAGAAGAGAAGGCGUAGGAAAUGAAAUCCAUAGACAGGCAGCGGCUUUCCCAAGAGGGCCCCAUAUUAAUCAGGAAUGGCUUAUAUAGCAAUAGUUUGCAUCUAAGAAAAAAGGCAGAAGUUGUUCAAAGAAUGGAUUUCCGUUGCUGCAUUGACUUUUUGUUGUUACCACGCAAGUAAUUAAAAAUGGCAAUUAAGCAGGAAAGUGAUUUGGUACCUGCUGCUGCAGUUGUUUCCAUGUGGACGACCCCUUCUAGCAUGAAGCAUGAGGCCACUCGUGUAGGUCGAAUUCUAAAAGUUAAGUGCUGCUACCGAAUCAUCCCAGGUAUGGGCUGGUUUGUGAGGGGUUUCUCUGUGCACCGGGGUCAGAAUCGUGGUUCUCUGUGGUCACAGGCACGCAGGGAAUAGGUGUUUACUGUCGUGACUGGCAGGAGUUUUUCCUGGGAAACGCGAGUUCAGAUUUCGCUGAGACACCAGGUGAAUUAGCUUUGUAAUUUUAAAAUUGUCUCCACUGUGAGGGAUUCUUGUUUGUAUUCAGCUCACGGGGCCUGUCUUGUUUUAUUAUUAAUGGGGUGAAGACUGUGCACAGCCUCUACCAUUAUAGUGGAACAAUUUUUUUAUUUUUUUAUUUAUUAAGCCAUUGGUGCAGACCCUGAAGUUCUACUACAAACUCCCUAUGGGAUCUUGGAUGAGUCACUUAGUUUAGUUUGGUUUUACUCACUGUCUAUAAAAUAGAGGUCCUUAUUCCUCAUAAGGAGUAUUGUAAAGACAGAGGAACUGAUCAUAUGUGAGUCGCUCAGACAGUCAUGUUGCACGUCAUAUUGGAAUUGCAAGUGAGCGUCCUGUGUAUCUCCAUGAAGAAUUGUUUUGUGUGGACUGCCUCCAUGCUGUGACAUAUACAUUCAUUAGCUGUACAGAUUUAAAAUUGAACAAUAAUUAUAAUCUAAUACGACUUUUAUCCAAACAAAAUCAACUUGAAAAGUUUAUUAUUAUGCUUCAAAAAUGCUAAUUAAUGUCAUUUAUUAUCAUAAGAAGUCAAGUAAUCGAAUAUUCAGAUUGUUCUGUUUGUUUUCUUCAUUUUGUAUCUCAUAAAAAUGUUACACUGUCUUUUUGCAUUAUAAAACCACCUAAAUUUAAGUUUAGGGUGUACUAGAGCCUGCACUGCAACAUUAAGUGAUGCAGAAGUGUGGACUGGCACCAGGAGUGGGGAGACCGGCUGCUGCGCUUGCGUCCCGCUGCUAUUUCUGGCAUGCAGAGAUUGAGCAGCGUCUGACGGGCCAAACAGUGACCCUGGCACUUCUUGCCUAUUGAAAUAUAAUUCAUUCUAGCUCUGCUCUUAGUCCCGUGGAUUUCUAAUUUUAAUUUCAUUUUCUACUUUUCCUGCCAGGGUAUCAGAUGAGGAUAACAAAAGUAAUCUGGACAUAGCCGCUUUCUUCCAAGGACCUCAAAACACUCCAAGGACAUGGUUAUGGUGCAUAUUGACUCCACGGACUACCCAGACAAGUAAUGCUGUGGGGUAAGAUGCUAUGGUUUGUAAUUAUUUGUUAUGCAUGUAAGGUAGAACUUACAGGCUCACCCUGAAAUUGCACAGUGCCUAAGACAGCAGCCUCCCCAGCACACGGAAAGAGACUUUUCCCUGCUCAGAAGAGCUGGAGAGUGAUUUACACAAGGUAGAUGGAGGGAAUAGGAGGGGAAAAGGCACCUAAAAGUGAUUUGCCCAGGGAAGCACAGCACAUCAUUAGCAAAGCAACAAUUCAUGUCUCCUGGUUUACAGGGCUGCUGUACUUAACAGUAUACGCUCUUCCUCUGUGGAACUUUCCAGGUUGUGAAUAAGGUUACUGAUACGCCAGGAGACCCUCUCGUGUACCCCCCAGAUGUAAUUAUGAACAAAUACGUUACUUUUGUGAGCAAGUCGUACGUUUUUUUCCUCUCUUGUUUUGAUGUCAUUCACCCAAUGCUGUAUUUGAUACACGAGGGCAUUACGACCAAUUUAAAAAAGAUAUUUUUCAAGAUGAAAGAUGAGUCCCUGAUUUACAUUGUAGUCAAAGUGACCGUGGAAGGCCGAGACUACUGCAAUUGUUUUUAUUUAACAGCUCUUCCCACGCUGUAGUCAAUGAAUCUCUAAUCUCCCGGACCGAAAUGUCUGACACUUACAGAAUCAUUUAUUUGCUGGCCCUUGUAUCCGCGAUUGUGUUGUGCUCACGGAGCUCCACCUACAGCGGUGUCUUAACAGUGGGCUGAGGGUACGCUGGAUAUAAAUUGUAUGUCCUUUAAGGAGCGGGGUGGGGGGGGGGGGAACACGGAAGGAUGAGCGUAGGCUUCGCUGUGCAAUAUGUGCUUCUCGCGCUGUCCUUUGUGUCAGGGGUAGUCUCCAGCAGCAACUGUUGAAGGAUGGCUUGGGCUUCUGAGAAACAAGGAGUAGAUUAGCUCUGGCAGAAUUUAUUUCUUGCUGCUGACCCUCAGACCACGGCUACUUACGCCAAACAGCCACACGCUGACCGCAACUUGGUGCUCUUUGCUGUUGCGUACCUUUGGAAGACAGGACAGAAGGGGCACCCUUUGGUGUGGCAAAGAGGAGGAUAAGCUAAGUCAGCUCCUGACAGAAGUCUCCAAACAGCUCCCUCUGGCUACUACAAGAAGCUGAACGGCUGGCUUCUGUUCCCUGGAAGCUGUGCCUGAUGAUCACAGGCCAUUAUAUACUUCUCACUUGACUGCCCUCCUGCUAACUCCACUUUUAAGAUGAAUUAUGCAAGAAAUGCUGUGAAGCAUCAGCCAUGCAGGAGCUGAGGACUGGGGGAAGAGUCCUCUCUCAGUGUAUGGACUCAUCUCUGGAUAAAGUCUGAGGCUCACCUGGAUUCCAGCUUCUCCGGAAAGGACAAAAAGUGAAAAGGAUAAAAAAAAUAAUCGCUGGACUUUGGUUUUCCUGUGCCUGUGUGCUUGUAUCAUGUCUGAACUUGCAAAGAAUAUACUUGGUUAUUCACAAGGAAUCCAGUAAAUGGUGACUCUGUAAAUCA